UACGUAGGGGGCAAGCGUUGUCCGGAUUUAUUGGGCGUAAAGAGCGUGUAGGCGGCCUGACAAGUCUGCUGUGAAAACUCGAGGCUCAACCUCGAGAUGUCGGCGGAAACUGUCUGGCUAGAGUCCGGAAGAGGCGAGUGGAAUUCCUGGUGUAGCGGUGAAAUGCGCAGAUAUCAGGAGGAACACCAAUGGCGAAGGCGACUUCCUGGCCUGUUCUUGACGCUGAGGCGCGAAAGCUAGGGGAGCAAACGGG
rnacentral:rRNA from 1 species